UUGUUACUAUGUCAUGAAGUCUACAAAGUAAAUAAACAUAUGAAGACUUAAAAGAGAGAUGCAAAAACAUUAAGCUUGAAAUCCACUAAAAUAAUCAGAAGACAGAAAAGAUUCAAGGAUGAAAUCCAAAGGAAAGAAUUUCUAGUCGUAGAUGUUUCGGGGAGAUGUAUGACGAGAACAGAAAAUGCCGAUGCUAAUGGUAAGAGAUGCAACUGAAUGAUUGCAUUCCUUUUGAAAUGGAUUGGGAAGUGACAGUGGAAUUGUAGUCAGUGAAGUGGACUUCGUGCUUGUACUUUUACACCAUUUCCAUAUUGGGAUGGAGCGUCUG
rnacentral:misc_RNA from 1 species